rnacentral:lncRNA from 1 species
AACGAACAACAGUGAUGUUGAAGUUGUGGUUCAGGUUUUAGUAUUCCUCCUUUUGAGAGGUUUUUCCUAUGCGUUAGGGUUUACACCAGUGAGGCUAGGGUUUUCGCUUCCUUCGCUCAGCGGCGGAUCGACGAUGGAGAUGGUUACACGAGGACGAGAAGAUGAUGCGAUGCACCGAGGAGCGGACGGGCUAUAGCUGGACGACGGUGGAUAGUCGGUGGCUUUUGAGGGUAUCCAGGAACACCCAAAAAACCUAGCAACAACAAGCCUGAACAACAGGUCCUGCCACGAGGAGUGAUUCGCUGGAAAGAACUCACUCGAGGUAUCUACCUCUUCGAGUAUUUGAUGUUUUGGGUGUCCCCAAUUUGGGCUUCACCGGUCGUUUACUGCUUUCUUAGUUUCAGAUGUUUCUUUAUGUUCGAACAAUUUUUUCUUGUUUAUUUUUGCUAUCGGGUAGAGUUUAGCGUAUGGGAUGUUAACCCUUGUUCUAGUAGCGGAACUAGGGGGUGGCCCGGGGGAGUCCCGGCUCACCCCAAUUUCGAUAUGCACCCUUAAUUUCAGGUGUAUAUUUACAAUUUUUACGAGUUUGGCUCAGGGCAGUUUUGAGCUCGGCUCAGUGGUUGGUCGUGUCAAAACUAGAGGGACCCGCUGAGAGUCCCAACUAUCUUGUCUCAUGGUCUCGAAUACUAUAUUAUAUGUAAAAUUUUGAUAAUUUCAUAAUCCGACUAAUAGUAUUUGAAAUUUUGCUCUUA